UACGGAGGGUGCAAGCGUUGUUCGGAAUUACUGGGCGUAAAGCGCGUGUAGGCGGCUAUUUAAGUCUGGUGUGAAAGCCCGAGGCUCACCCUCGGAAGCGCACUGGAUACUGGAUGGCUCGAGUACCGGAGAGGAGGGUGGAAUUCCUGGUGUAGCGGUGAAAUGCGUAGAGAUCAGGAAGAACAUCGGUGGCGAAGGCGCUCUGCUGGACCAUAACUGACACUCAGGGACGAAAGCUAGGGGAGCGAAUGGG
rnacentral:rRNA from 1 species